AUUCAUUCAUAGCCAUCUGAGAGCCUUCGAAAUCAUUAUAUCUUUUUCUUAAAGCAUACAUAUACAUAGAUGAAAAAAUAAUAAAAUUCAUGCUUCAUAAUCAUGCUAUUUUCAUAAGACAUAUUCAUGAAAUCAAUGCUCAUAAUAAAACAUACUUUUUCAUAUCACAUAUGUCGAUCCUUAUUUUAUAAAAAAUUAUGAUUUCAUCAAUAGCAAUUCUUUGCAUAAAAAUAUGAUCAUUUAAAAAUA
rnacentral:lncRNA from 1 species